GGCUUAUUAGUUUAAUGGUAAAAUGCUACUCUCGUAAAGUAGAGACAGUGGUUCGAUUCCGCUAUAAGCCU
rnacentral:tRNA from 1 species